rnacentral:lncRNA from 1 species
UGACGUUCUCCGGCUGCUUAAUGAAGAUCUCUGUGAACUGACUCCCCAAGUCAUCACCUUGUUUUGGUGAGUUCUCCUCUUGUUCCUCCUCUUCUAGGUCAUUUGAUAUGACGUUGUAGAGCGUGUCCAAGGCAUAGCCAAUUAUUUCAGAAUCUGAACGGUCAGUCUGCAGGACGUGUACCAGGUGCUCCAUGGCUUGGAUGCCCACCUCCAGCCGGUACUUCUUUGACAGCGCCUUCAGGGCGCGUACGGCGUCCCGGCGGUCAUCCAGCAGCGUGGAGGAAGCCACCCGGUCGCACAGCUUCUGGAUCGUAUCGGCGCCAGAGGGCUGCGGCCCGGCGCUGGGCCCCCCCAUGACGCCCCGCAGGAAGUUCAUGGCAGUUCCGCUGCGCGCCCACCGGCCCCGCACACCGCCGGCCCCGCUUCACCGCUCCCAGCCCCGCCGCCACCCCCGCGCCGGAAGCGGCCACUGCGCGUGCGUCGCGACGUGGCGCCGACGUGGCCUCCGGCGGGGGCGUGGCCACAGUAGAGGCGGGACUUAGCGUGAGCCACGCACCUCCCCGUGGGCUGUGAGCGCGCCGUCCUUGUGGCCGCGGUGCGGCGUGCAUCGCUGCUUCGGGGUCGCACAUUUACGGCACCAGCAACGUGUGCUCCUCACGCUGCUGCAAUUCUCAGCAGACCUGGGUGGGUCACGGUGCACUUUGGGAGCGGGGGGUUUCCUCUCCCUAACGACUGCGGAAGGGAAGCAAGGUUAAAGUCUCUCACGAAACUCAACAUUUUCAGCCAGGUUUUAUUUUCUACUUGGUUGUUCUAGAUGAUAGAAAACAAGCAUUGCUCUAAUGUAAAAUAAAAACCUUCCCUCAGCGGAGCACCGACCCUAAUGCGGGAUCGACGCACCGCACCACACCUACACACAGCAGCGCUGCCCCCGCCGCCCCCCACUUGAAGGCAAUUCCGCC